rnacentral:misc_RNA from 1 species
GUUUUUUCAAAGAAAAACAUGCAUUUCAAGGCGCUAUGGAUUUCAAAGACCAUGGAUUUACUCAGAACUUAUGGGUUUUAAAAAAGGCUUUAAAAGGAAAUAACUAAAAAACUUUUCCAGUAAUUUAAGAUGAUACCGGGGAAGGUUUUCCGGUUUAUCCCGGAGGGCUUGUAGCUCAGUUGGUUAGAGCGCGCGCUUGAUAAGCGUGAGGUCGGAGGUUCAAGUCCUCCCAGGCCCACCAAUUUAUGCUCGUUUUUUGCUUAUCCAAGAGUACAAAGCUUAAGCGUAUUAAAGCCUCUUCAAUCUUUGUUUAUUUUUAAAGAUUUUAUUUUAUCAUUCAGAGAUUGUUUGUUAAAUUUAUCCC